rnacentral:rRNA from 1 species
UCUACGGGUGGCAGCAGUGGGGAAUAUUGGACAAUGGGCGAAAGCCUGAUCCAGCCAUGCCGCGUGUGUGAAGAAGGCCUUCGGGUUGUAAAGCACUUUCAGUGGGGAAGAAAGCCUUGGGGCUAAUACCCUCGAGGAAGGACAUCACCCACAGAAGAAGCACCGGCUAACUCCGUGCCAGCAGCCGCGGUAAUACGGAGGGUGCGAGCGUUAAUCGGAAUUACUGGGCGUAAAGCGCGCGUAGGCGGUCUGAUAAGCCGGUUGUGAAAGCCCCGGGCUCAACCUGGGAACGGCCUCCGGAACUGUCAGGCUAGAGUGCAGGAGAGGAAGGUAGAAUUCCCGGUGUAGCGGUGAAAUGCGUAGAGAUCGGGAGGAAUACCAGUGGCGAAGGCGGCCUUCUGGACUGACACUGACGCUGAGGUGCGAAAGCGUGGGUAGCAAACAGGAUUAGAUACCCGGGUAGUC